AAGGAUGCUUACUCUGUUGUGGUCUGUUUGUGUUCAGGCCCACCCAUGAGAGUGAAGACUAGGAGGACGAGGAGAAGAAGGGAUGAGGCUGCUCCCUGCAGUACCAGCAUGCCCUGGUGCGCGUCCUCACCCAGUUUGUGACUGAGUCAUCUGACUUGGGUCAGCUGACCUACAUGUUGGGCCCAGACUGGCAGUUUGACAUCAUUGACCUUGUGACAGAGUUCAUGAAGGUGGAGGAGCCCAGAGUCGCCCAGUUACAGGAUGGCAGGACCCUGGUUGGUUGGGAGCUGGGAAUCACCACUGUUCAGGUCCUCUCACCUCUCUCUGACUCCAUCCUGGCUGAGAAGACAGUGAUUGUCCUGGAUGACCGC
rnacentral:lncRNA from 1 species